AUGGUGCAAAAUACCCGAUACAAGUCAAAAAUAUCAAUUUGGGGAUUUUUCAAACCCUUGCAGGCGUCAAGACAACAUUGUCAGUGUUGGCUAUGUGAGAGACAAUGGAAACUGCCACCUUCAAACCUCCAAACCAGCCUUCCCAUCUCCGAAGGAAAACCGGAGACCUCCCCGCCCUGCCAAGCCUAAGGAUGGCGUGUAUGGCAACAUUUGAGUUCUUCAACAUACCUUAGAAACAUCAUAAGCUCCAAGGACCAUGUUGCUGUUGUCAUUUUACACACAUUAUUUACAAUACUUGUUUGAUUGUUUGUUUGUUAGUCUUGCAUUGAAACUAAAUAUUUUCUUCAAAGAAUAUAUGUAUAUAUCAGCUGUCACUUAGCUGAAUGUGUGCACCUGUUAAAUAAAUAUCAUAACACUGAAACUCUUUUGCCUGAGUGGUCUGGUGCAUUCAUACAAACUCAAAGUUUUUAUUAUUUUCCUUUUAAACACUUGAGAGGGCGAUAGCUGUCAAAAGAACAGCUACGAGUCUGCAACU
rnacentral:lncRNA from 1 species